rnacentral:lncRNA from 1 species
GUUUCCAUUGUCAAUAGUAAAAUGUGACUCAAAGUCAUCAUUAGACAACCCUUCACCGGAUACAUAGUCUUGCAUCCAAGAAGGUUGAAUGUGUUUCCUUCUUGAAUGUUGUUGUUCACUAGCUUCUAGGUGGGGUGAUUCGGUGUCUAGAUGGGCUGAUUUGAUGACUGCAUUUUCAUCUGCCAAUUCCUCUGGAGCAGGG